rnacentral:lncRNA from 1 species
UUGUUAGUGAGUUACAUAGUGGAUUUGUAAUGGAUCUGAGUUUUAUCCAAUUGAGAGCUGGGAUAAGUGUUUUUAGCUGUUAGGAUAGUUGUAAUUCUUUGACUGAAUUAUGCCCUGAAAUUUCAUGUCGGUUGAAAUUUUGAUCCACAUUUUGCAGUGAUAAAUUAAGGAAAAGUUGAUGUCAUACUUACUAUAGUGCAUCUGACAAUCUGAGUGCUUACUCUCAUUUAUGUAUAUAUAUCCACAUCUGAUUUCUUUAUUGAUAUGUAUAAAUCUGGUUCAGCUACAUCAUGAUAUUAUUCUAAUAAUAUUCCACCCGAAAUUAAUUAUCUCAGAUGUAAUUAGCUGCCUCCAUAACUCGGACGUAUUUUGCAAAAAAAGAAGUUGCUUGAAAAGGAGCUUUUAAGCUUUGCCAACAUGCUUGUUAAUCAGCAUCUAACGCCUUAAAUUGCUCUACUGAUCUGUCUGACGGUGUUUGAACACUUCUAUAUCAUAUUUUUUUACUUCUUGGAACUGUCUCUUCGUGGACUCUUAUAAUUGUGUCAUUAUUAUCUUCAGAGAAAAAGAAACAAAAGAUAUCUGAAAUCCAAGCAGCUUUGGAUGAUGCUGAUGUUUUGGUAACGCAAAAGCAUCCCGCCUUUAUCUUGUCAUGAGUUUUCUCUCAGUACUAGCCUAAAAUGAGUUGUAUUUUUUCAUAUUCGAAAAAUGGAUCUUGAGGUUAGAAGUUUGCAGCCAAGCUUGAAGGCUACACUACUUGCUAAGCUCAGGGAAUAUAAAUUCGAUCUGAAUAAGUUGAAAAGGGAAGUAAAAAAAACUAGCUUUGCCAAAUUCAAAUGUUCCUAGCCAUGAGGAGUUGUUAGAAUCUGGAAUGGCUGGUGAAAAUUCGGUAUGCCUGUAUGCAAUUGCCUUGCUAAUUUUUUUGUCCUUAAUAUAUAUAGUAUGUAUAUAUUGCACAGAGAAUCGCACGGGCUUCGACAAUGUAGCAUCAUUUAGCCUCACAGGAGAUAAUUCAACUGUGUCUGUUUGCAAAAUGAGUGAAGACUUCUACUUUACCAUUAAAGAGUCGUGUAAAUAUUAUCCUUGAGCAUUAUUUACUUAAAACAAAAGUUAAUAUUAGGAUUCAGUAUCUUUUAUGGUUUUUGGUUUUCAAUUCCUGGAUCAACUGAAAAAUUAAGCGAUAGAUGUCAAUGUCAUGAUGAGAUCGUAUAGAUUAGCUAGAUUUAACCAAGAUGGAUGUUUUGUUCAAAAUGUCAAUAUACUUAUGUUCUUACUGUCUAUUAUCCGAUUUUAUUAUGCUCUAUCGGUUUUUACCAAAGAGAAGAGUUGAGCAGCGUUUGACUUGGGUAUCCUCCCUAGACAUAUUUUUCAGCUAACUCAGUGUUUAUCUCAUUGUUGCUUACUCUACAUAUGAACCAUCCUCCUCUGCUUAUUUAUUUAUUUUAAUUUUUAUGAUACAUUGUUCAUUUAUUUGCAAUAAUGAGCUUUGGUAGGUAGUUUUGCUUGGAGCAUGUUUGCCUAAUGAUAUGAUCCCGGGUGCACCAUCAAUUUCCAAGAAUUCAUUAAUUGAUUGGAGAAGGUCGAAGUCAAGAACCGAGGCAAGUCGAGACUUUGAAGUAGUUAAUAAAAUUGUUCACUUAUGUAUUCGAGCAACGGAGUCUAAAACCAUGAAGUUCACGUGUCAAGGAGUAAAUUCGAUGAAGGGGCCGAAGUCCAAUUCAAUUGGAAUUAGCUUGAUAAUUGUAGCCGAAGACGGAGCCAAAAUCAAAGGUUGUGCGACCGCACAGCUUCCAACCCUUGCGAUCGCAUAGGAGCAAACAGGGAAUUUUUUGGCAACAUUCGGAACAACCAUGUGAUCGCAUUAAAUUGUGCCAUGCGGUCGCAUAGCACUAAAUGGAGGCGAAAUCUUUCCUUUUCUCACGAAGUACUUUAAUUGGUUGAAUUUCUUAUUUUUGGAAACUCUAAUAUUAUUAGGACUUUAGCACACAUUUUUUUCAUAUUUUAGGAGUUUAUUUUUAUCUUUAAUUAUUUUUCAAUGUUUCUAGUAU